CGGCGAGUGAAGCGGCAGAGCUCAAUUUGAAAUCCGGCCCCCUGGGGGCCUGAGUUGUAAUUUGCAGAGGAUGCUUCGGGCGCGACCGCGGUCCAAGUCCCCUGGAACGGGGCGUCGUAGAGGGUGAGAAUCCCGUCUCCGGCCGGCCGGUCUCGCCCGUGUGAAGCUCCUUCGACGAGUCGAGUUGUUUGGGAAUGCAGCUCCAAAUGGGUGGUAAAUUUCAUCUAAAGCUAAAUACUGGUCGGAGACCGAUAGCGCACAAGUAGAGUGAUCGAAAGAUGAAAAGCACUUUGAAAAGAGAGUUAAACAGCAUGUGAAAUUGUUGAAAGGGAAGCGCUUGCGACCAGAGUCGGCCGUGGGGGUUCAGCGGGCAUUCGUUGCCCGUGCAAUCCCCCGCGGCCGGGCCAGCGUCGGUUUCGACGGCCGGUCAAAGGCCCCCGGAAUGUGUCGCCUCUCGGGGCGUCUUAUAGCCGGGGGUGCAAUGCGGCCAGUCGGGACCGAGGAACGCGCUCCGGCACGGACGCUGGCUUAAUGGUCGUCAGCGACCCGUCUUGAAACACGGACCAAAGGAGUCUAACAUCCACGCGAGUGUUCGGGUGUCAAAACCCGUCCGCGCAGUGAAAGCGAACGGAGGUGGGAACCCCUGAGGUGCCACCAUCGACCGAUCUGAAGUCUUCGGAUGGAUUGAGUAGGAGCGUGGCUGUUGGACCG
rnacentral:rRNA from 1 species